GUACGGAAACUAUCCACCUGAAGCAACUUGUGGAUAUAGUUGCAAGCAUAAGAAAACAUUGGAGGAGGAUCCUUCUGCUUUUGCAUUUGAUGAAGUUUAUGAUGACAUGAAACACAGAGACAUUGUUCCUAAACUGCAAGAUCGUCAAGACCUCAAGGAUCUGGUAAAGGGGUUUCAGACACUCCCGUGACGCUCCAUAUUGCAAAUGCAGAGCUUGCUCCAACUCACCCAAUCUGUCUAGGUCUGGCACUGAACUGAUGAGUUAUGUGCAGGCUCCAAAAACUUCACAAGAUAAAAUGGCUACUGAGCUUCAAGACAAAUAGAAAAUACUUGCAAAUCAGAUGAUCAAAAUGCAAAGUUUUGUCUAUUGUUUUUGAUUCGUUGUUGAUCCUUACCUGUAACAUUGUUUUAAGACUGCUAUGUUUUUAUAAAUCAAUUUGUAGUUUACAAAUUAUGGAAUAUAUUUUUUACCAAUUAAAA